CUUCUUUUAUGUAACUCUACAGAUUGAGUUGGAAGAAAAAAAGAGAAGAGCAAAAAAACCCCUCUGAUUCUGGUGGGCACAGCAUUCAUACUGUUUUGGGAUGAUGGAUCACAUAAAUAUUGCUUCUGUAUUUUUGGAUUGACUUCCUCAGCAAUGCAAAUCAAAUCAGAUACAUCCAUGAGACUAUUUACUGCUUCCAACUCAAAUCAGAAGGGCAGCAGGGGUUUUCCAGGGGCUGAGGUCUGGCUGAUUAAUCCUGGAUCGUGGGAGCUUCACUGCACGAUGGCUGAUCCAGCUGGUGACUAUCAGAGCCUCUGAAUGACACAAUCCCCUACAAUCUGGAAAGGCUGACUUCCCACAGGCACUGUAAUUCACCGUGGGCCCUACAAGGAUGCCAGUUUUACUGAAAAUUCAAUCUCUUCACUACAAUAGAAGGCCACCUGAGCUGCCAUCCACAGCAGCACUCAACUAACCCAGUGCCAAAAGCGUGAUUCAUUGAUUAUUAUCAAAUGAACUUUCACUUCUAACUUCAGAAAGGAAUUAGACAGAGAUAAAACUGACUGUAAGGGCAGCUGAGCAGACUUAGUUGUAAUGAUGAAAAGGAAUGAUUACAACUCUCAGCUGUACCAAGAAACACAUGGGCCUGUGCUGCUUCUACUUAAAUAUUAUUUAGACUUCUGCAAUUUUGUUUACAGCAUAUCUGAACAUAAGGUGCCAUAUGGCAGUAGAGGAGUGGGUGCUAAUAAGAGCACAUGUGAGACAACUGUGUCUCUGUGUACCCCCUUCCCAGACAUCCCAGGAGCACUCCAAGUUGAGACUUUAGCCUGGAGGCAACUGAAGUUUGCUCAAGACUUUUCCUGGUUUCAACUCAGGUGUUUGCAUGGCCAUCUGACACAUUAAUACAUUAAUGAAUUAAGAUUAUUCCCAGCGUGUGUUUUUCAGGAAGAUGCAUCUCCAGGCUGCUUUGUGGUAUGGUUGAUCACGGCAGAGCACCUGGAGGCUUUGGAUCUGGGAUUGUCACUGCAGGUACCAAGGUCUGCCUGCACGCAGCUCCUCAGCCCUGUUCAGGUCACACAGCCCAUGCUCAGCAAUGAGACCGGGCUGCUGGCUGGAACUGCACCCUGGCAAGCCAGCUGAGCAUGGGAAAGGCUGGGACACUCUGUCCCCAUCCCUUCCUGCAGCACAGCUACAGCUGGACUGACACUGCCAGCACUGGCCCUUGCUGCUGUUUAAUUCCCACUUCAACCUCUUGGUGGCUGUGCCCACACCUCCACUGGGGACUGUGCUGAAGCACAGCCUUUGCUUUCUGAUCCCCAGAGCCUUGCAGGUGCAGUGCCCAGGUGUUGCACACGAAUGUCCCUGAGAUAUUCCACACAGCACCCUGACCAAGGUGAGCUCUGUGACCUCUGUGUCUGCCAUGGCUCAAAACCACCCCUUAAUAAUCCUGUUGGAGGCUUAACUGGGUGUAUUCCACACACACAAAUGAUGAAAAUAUUUCAUCAUUUUUCAAGGAAGGAAGAGUUCAAAAUGGAGAUAAAUCAACAUCCAAUGGAAGGGAUAUUGAUUUAUUUCCUCACCUUUGGAAUGAAUACCUCCCCUCCUGCAAAAAGCCAUGAAAGGGAAGCCACUGUUCAUCUGAAACAAACAAGGCUCAAUAAAUCUUAAUCUUGCUAAAAGAUAGUUCUGAGAGGAAACCAGAUAAAUACAGCUUAGCAUUCCUGCCACCAAAAAUGACAUAACUUUUCUCUUUCACCUUUGGCUCUAGUACUUGGGCUGUGUUUUUAAUGAAA